rnacentral:rRNA from 1 species
GACGAACGCUGGCGGCGUGCUUAACACAUGCAAGUCGAACGGAAAGGCCCUGCUUUUGUGGGGUGCUCGAGUGGCGAACGGGUGAGUAACACGUGAGUAACCUGCCCUUGACUUUGGGAUAACUUCAGGAAACUGGGGCUAAUACCGGAUAGGAGCUCCUGCUGCAUGGUGGGGGUUGGAAAGUUUCGGCGGUUGGGGAUGGACUCGCGGCUUAUCAGCUUGUUGGUGGGGUAGUGGCUUACCAAGGCUUUGACGGGUAGCCGGCCUGAGAGGGUGACCGGCCACAUGGGUACUGAGAGACGGCCCAGACUCCUACGGGAGGCAGCAGUGGGGAAUAUUGCACAAUGGGCGGAAGCCUGAUGCAGCAACGCCGCGUGCGGGAUGACGGCCUUCGGGUUGUAAACCGCUUUCGCCUGUGACGAAGCGUGAGUGACGGUAAUGGGUAAAGAAGCACCGGCUAACUACGUG